rnacentral:rRNA from 1 species
UACGUAGGGUGCGAGCGUUGUCCGGAAUUACUGGGCGUAAAGAGCUCGUAGGCGGUUUGUCGCGUCUGCUGUGAAAACUCGGGGCUUAACUCCGGGCCUGCAGUGGGUACGGGCAGACUAGAGUGCGGUAGGGGAGACUGGAAUUCCUGGUGUAGCGGUGAAAUGCGCAGAUAUCAGGAGGAACACCUAUAGCGAAGGCAGCUUGCUGGGACGUUACUGACGCUAAGGCGCGAAAGCGUGGGGAGCAAACAGG